rnacentral:rRNA from 1 species
GACGAACGCUGGCGGCGUGCCUAAUACAUGCAAGUAGAACGCUGAAGGAGGAGCUUGCUUCUCUGGAUGAGUUGCGAACGGGUGAGUAACGCGUAGGUAACCUGCCUGGUAGCGGGGGAUAACUAUUGGAAACGAUAGCUAAUACCGCAUAAGAGUAGAUGUUGCAUGACAUUUGCUUAAAAGGUGCAAUUGCAUCACUACCAGAUGGACCUGCGUUGUAUUAGCUAGUUGGUGGGGUAACGGCUCACCAAGGCGACGAUACAUAGCCGACCUGCGAGGGUGAUCGGCCGCACUGAGAGUGUGACACGGCACAGAGUCCUUCAGGAAGCAGCAGUAGGGAUACGUCGGCAAUGGGCGGAAGUCAGACCGAGAUACGCCGCGUGAGUAAGGAGGAUUGUCGGAUCGUAGAGCACUGUUGUCGGGGAAGAACGAGUGUGCGAGUGGAAAGUAGACACUGUGACGGUAUCUUACCAGAAAGGGACGGCUAACUACGUG